rnacentral:rRNA from 1 species
AACGAACGCUGGCGGCAUGCUUAACACAUGCAAGUCGAACGAGACCUUCGGGUCUAGUGGCGCACGGGUGCGUAACGCGUGGGAAUCUGCCCUUUGCUACGGAAUAACUCAGAGAAAUUUGUGCUAAUACCGUAUAAUGACGAAAGACCAAAGAUUUAUCGGCAAAGGAUGAGCCCGCGUAGGAUUAGCUAGUUGGUGAGGUAAAGGCUCACCAAGGCGACGAUCCUUAGCUGGUCUGAGAGGAUGAUCAGCCACACUGGGACUGAGACACGGCCCAGACUCCUACAGGAGGCAGCAGUGGGGAAUAUUGGACAAUGGGCGAAAGCUUGAUCCAGCAAUGCCGCGUGAGUGAUGAAGGCCUUAGGGUUGUAAAGCUCUUUUACCAGGGAUGAUAAUGACAGUACCUGGAGAAUAAGCUCCGGCUAACUCCGUGCCAGCCGCCGCUGUAACAC